ensembl:snoRNA small nucleolar RNA SNORA20
UGUUCCACUGAUUUGCUGCUCUAGUCUUUUAGUGAUAUGAGCAGUUAUACACAUGGGAGAGAACAAUGUUAGGCUAUUGUGAACGGAAAUGGAGUAACCAUUUAAUCUCUUCUGUGAAGUCCAGAUAUUG